rnacentral:rRNA from 1 species
GCAUAUCAAUAAGCGGAGGAAAAGAAACCAACAGGGAUUGCCCCCAGUAACGGCGAAGUGAAGCGGCAACAGCUCAAAUUUGAAAUCUGGCCCCCCCGGCCCGAGUUGUAAUUUGGAGAGGAUGCUUUUGGCGCGGCGCCGUCCGAGUUCCUUGGAACAGGACGCCACAGAGGGUGAGAGCCCCGUACGGACGGACGCCUAGCCUUUACAAAGCUCCUUCGACGAGUCGAGUAGUUUGGGAAUGCUGCUCAAAAUGGGAGGUAAAUUUCUUCUAAAGCUAAAUACCGGCCAGAGACCGAUAGCGCACAAGUAGAGUGAUCGAAAGAUGAAAAGCACUUUGAAAAGAGGGUUAAAAAGUACGUGAAAUUGUUGAAAGGGAAGCGCCUGUGACCAGACUUGCGCCCCGCGGACCACCCGGCGUUCUCGCCGGUGCACUCCGCGGGGCGCAGGCCAGCAUCGGUUCUCCUAGGGGGAUAAAGGCCGCGGGAACGUAGCUCCUUCGGGAGCGUUAUAGCCCGCGGCGGCAUGCCCCUGGGGGGACCGAGGACCGCGCUUCGGCAAGGAUGCUGGCGUAAUGGUCACCAGCGACCCGUCUUGAAACACGGACCAAGGAGUCAAGCAUUGGGGCGAGUGUAUGGGUGCCAAACCCGCACGCGAAAUGAAAGUAAACGCAGGUGAGAGCUUCGGCGCAUCAUCGACCGAUCCUGAUGUCUUCGGAUGGAUUUGAGUAAGAGCCUUACCGCUUGGACCCGAAAGAUGGUGAACUAUGCCUGAAUAGGGUGAAGCCAGAGGAAACUCUGGUGGAGGCUCGCAGCGGUUCUGACGUGCAAAUCGAUCGUCAAAUUUGGGCAUGGGGGGCGAAAGACUAAUCGAACCAUCUAGUAGCUGGUUACCGC